AGAAUCAACGCUGGCGGCGUGCCUAACACAUGCAAGUCGAACGAGAAAGUGGAGCAAUCCAUGAGUAAAGUGGCGCACGGGUGAGUAACACGUGACUAACUUACCCUUGAGUGGGGGAUAACCUAGAGAAAUCUGGGCUAAUACCGCAUAAUACCUUCGGGUCAAAGGAGCAAUUCGCUUAAGGAGGGGGUCGCGGCCGAUUAGUUAGUUGGCGGGGUAAUGGCCCACCAAGACUGUGAUCGGUA
rnacentral:rRNA from 1 species